rnacentral:rRNA from 1 species
UGCUUUUACCCCAAGGGCAGGCCGUUUAAUUAGUUGAUACACGACGAAGAAACCCUUGCCUUGUCAUAAUAUACGGAUGCUAGCGAUGGAGCGGUGUUUUCUUCCAGAAACGUAUAACAGGUGCUGCAUGGGUGUUGUCACCUCGUGUUGUGAAGAGUUGGGGUAAAUUCCCCAACGAGAGCAAACCCUAUUUUUUUUUUCCAACCAGUUAAGUUGGGAACUCUAGAGAGACUGCCGUCGCAAAUAGGGAGGAAGGUGGGGAGGACGCCAAUUCAUCAUGGCCCUUACGACAGGGGCUACACACGUGUUCCAAUGGAGGUACAAAGGGGGCAACGUCGCGACAGGAUCCAAUCUCUCAACUAUAUUCCAGUCCGGAUGUAGUUUGCAACUCGACUACAUGAAGUCGAAUCGC